CGGGGCCCGGUCGCUUAUUUCGCUUAUGUGGGUCCUCGUUUUCCUUCUGAAGACUCCCGUAAAGAACCUGCCUCACUGACCCAGGGCCAUGGCAGACAGAGGCAUCGGAUGGCAUUUGUUUAAAUAUCGACUCAGAAGAGUCGCACGCCAGGCUCUGUCCCAGGCACAAAGCUCCACUUCCAAUAAGGGCUAGCCAAUGAGAUGAAAACAGUGUCGAGGAGCAGAGCCGGGGAGCAGGAGCCUGAGGUAUUCGGAUGACUUUGGGGAACAGCUCAAUCCCUGAGCCCUGACUACCUGCCUCUGCCUCUUGCCUGAGGGGAGAAAUAAAA